rnacentral:lncRNA from 1 species
GAUUGGAGCACGAUGGGGAGGUUGAGGCAGAGAGAACUACUAGUUUAGUGUGGCAAGAAGGGCAAAGGAGGUGGCGAUGAAGUGGAUGGGGCCACAAGAACUAAGGUACCGGAUGGUGUGGUGGUUAUCGAAAGACCAUAGAUCAAGAGAAGAGGAUGGUAGCAAGGCAAUAGAGUGCGGCAAGCUGGCCCCUCUAUUCAUCGGAUUUAAAGAUCGAGUAGGGGAUCAGCCGCAU